rnacentral:rRNA from 1 species
UGGGGAAUUUUCCGCAAUGGGCGCAAGCCUGACGGAGCAAGACCGCGUGGGGGAGGAAGGUCUGUGGAUUGUAAACCCCUUUUGACUGGGAAGAACACAAUGACGGUACCAG